rnacentral:lncRNA from 1 species
GCAAAGAUUGAGAAAAUGAUGUAUGAGGAGAAUUAUUGUGAGAAUUAGGCAAAGGCUUAACAUUAAAAAGUUGUGAGUUCUUUGUUGCAUUUGCAUGGUGAUAAUCAGCCAAGAAAAUCAGAAGAAGAUGAAGAGAAAGUAGCAAGACUAAUAUUGUUGUGUUUUUAAACCUUUUCAACAUCUCGAAAAGCUCUUGUGUAGUUAUGGUGAAAAUAGGAGGAAAGGAGAUGGAGGGCGGCUAAGUGUUGAAAUAUAUAGAAAAGAG